UCCUCUGUGGCAAAGUGGUAUCGCGUCACACUCGUAAUGUGAAGGUCCAUGGUUCAAUCCCAUGCGGAGGCA
rfam:Sphaeroforma arctica JP610 cont1.7441, whole genome shotgun sequence.